CCUCUAGAUGGAAGCACUGUCUGUUGUAUAAAAGAAAAGAUCGUGCAUCCCUUUAGAGUGU
rnacentral:pre_miRNA from 1 species